rnacentral:rRNA from 1 species
AUUGAACGCUGGCGGCGUGCUUAACACAUGCAAGUCGAUCGGUAACGCGGGGGCAACCCUGGCGACGAGAGGCGGACGGGUGAGGAACGCUUGGGAAUCUGCCCUUCAGCGGGGGACAACACGGGGAAACUCGUGCUAAUACCGCAUACGCUCCACGGAGGAAAGCCGGGGACCGCAAGGCCUGGCACUGAAGGAUGAGCCCAAGUCGGAUUAGCUAGUUGGCGGGGUAACGGCCCACCAAGGCGACGAUCCGUAGCUGGUCUGAGAGGACGAUCAGCCACACUGGGAAUGAGACACGGCCCAGACUCCUACGGGAGGCAGCAGUGGGGAAUAUUGGACAAUGGGGGAAACCCUGAUCCAGCGACGCCGCGUGGGUGAAGAAGGCCUGCGGGUUGUAAAGCCCUUUCGGUAGGGACGAAAGCUCUCGACCUAACACGUCGGGAGGUUGACUUAACCUACAAAAGAAGCACCGGCUAACUCUGUGCCAGCCGCCGCCGUAAUAC